rnacentral:lncRNA from 1 species
AAAAUUAGUGAGUAAUUUUUAGAAAGUGGCCUACAAUUGUUGACCAAAUUAGUGAGUAAUUUUGACAUUUUUAGAAAGUGGCCUACAAUUGUUGACUAAAUUAGUGAGUAAUUGUUGACUUAAUUAAAGUAAAUUUUUGUCAUUUUUAGAAAGUAGCCACUUUUAAUGGGACACCCAAAAAGGAAAUGUGGCCACUUUUAUUGGGACGGAGGGAG